GAAUCUUCAAGCCAUGACAUAAUUUUCUGGAAUUUUCCAAGCUGUUUAAAGGCACAGUCAACUAGUGUAUGUAAACUUCUGACACACUGGAAUUGUGAUACAGUGAAUUAUAAGUAAAUAAUCUGUUUGUAAACAAUGUUGGAAAAAUGACUGGUGUCAUGCACAAAGAGAUGUCUAACUGACUUGCCAAAACUAUAGUUUGUUAGCAAGAAAUUUGUAGAGGGGUUGAAAAACAAGUUUUAAUGACCCAACCUAAGUGUAUGUAAACUUCUGACUUCAACUGUGUAUAUAAUAUAUAUAUAUAUAUAUAUAUAUAUAAUACUAUUAGUAUUUUUUUUCAUUAGACUCCCCAAAGAACACCUCAGUGUCAGUCAGUCCCUCGGGUUCAAUGAUAGAGGGCAGCUUCUGUGACUCUGACCUGCAACAGCAAUGCCAACCCAGCAGUGAAGACCUACACCUGGUACACAAUCAGGGGAGGUCGGGAGACACCAGUGAAGAAUAUGCCAGAGCUAACUGUCCAGGUGUUGACAGAUAACAGCAUGUUCUACUGUGAGGCCAAAAAUGACCAUGGAAUCCAGAAAUCAUCUGCCUUUCAACUAGAUAUGAUGUUUUCCUGUGUGUAUCAAGAAUUGUCCACCAACCAAAGGACAUCCAGCCAUCUUGUCAGAACUGUGGGACACUUUUGACACCUUAUAGAGUCCAUGCCCCGACGAAUUGAGGCCGUUCUGAGUUCAAAAGGAGACGGGGACGGGGGGUGCAACUCAAUAUUAAGAAGGUGUUCCUAACGUUUGAUAUAAUACAUUUAUAUGAAACACAGGAAUACCUAUGUUUGACAGCACUGGGCUUUUAAAAUUCUUUAGGUGUCAUAAUUGUGUUAAUUGACAAGUUGAAUCAGGUGUGCCAGCUCUAGAACAGCUGGAGACAUCUGAGGAGAGAAUUGUUCUCAGUUGACGGAAGGCCAUACAGGAGUAUUUCACAAGACACUGUGACUGACCGUAGUCAUAAUGAUGAUGAAAUAGCAUAACACAAAAAAGAUGGAACUGGAAUGACACUCUCACUUGUGGUUGCACAAGAAGAGCUGUGAGCAAACCACAUCCCAAAAUAUUUGAAUGAGGUGGCGCCCCUUACAUUUUAAUUAUCACUAAGAGA
rnacentral:lncRNA from 1 species